GGCCGAACGCUGGCGGCGUGCUUAACCCAUGCAAGUCGAACGGAAAGGCCCUGCUUUUGUGGGGUGCUCGAGUGGCGAACGGGUGAGUAACACGUGAGUAACCUGCCCUUGACUUUGGGAUAACUUCAGGAAACUGGGGCUAAUACCGGAUAGGAGCUCCUGCUGCAUGGUGGGGGUUGGAAAGUUUCGGCGGUUGGGGAUGGACUCGCGGCUUAUCAGCUUGUUGGUGGGGUAGUGGCUUACCAAGGCUUUGACGGGUAGCCGGCCUGAGAGGGUGACCGGCCACAUUGGGACUGAGAUACGGCCCAGACUCCUACGGGAGGCAGCAGUGGGGAAUAUUGCACAAUGGGCGGAAGCCUGAUGCAGCAACGCCGCGUGCGGGAUGACGGCCUUCGGGUUGUAAACCGCUUUCGCCUGUGACGAAGCGUGAGUGACGGUAAUGGGUAAAGAAGCACCGGCUAACUACGUG
rnacentral:rRNA from 1 species